AGUGAACGCUGGCGGCAGGCCUAACACAUGCAAGUCGAACGGCAGCACAAGAGAGCUUGCUCUCUGGGUGGCGAGUGGCGGACGGGUGAGGAAUGCAUCGGAAUCUGCCCAUUUGUGGGGGAUAACCUCGGGAAACCGGGACUAAUACCACAUACGACCUACGGGUGAAAGCAGGGGAUCUUCGGACCUUGCGCAGAUGGAUGAGCCGAUGCCGGAUUAGCUAGUUGGAGGGGUAAAGGCCCACCAAGGCGACGAUCCGUAGCUGGUCUGAGAGGAUGAUCAGCCACCCGGGGGCGGAGACACGGCCCAGACUCCUAGGGGAGGCAGCGGUGGGGAAUUUGGGAAAAGGGGCGAAAGCCUGACCCAGCCAUGCCGGGUGUGGGAAGAAGGCCUUCGGGUGGUAAAGCCUUUUUGUGGGGAAAAAAAAGCGGCCGUUUAAUACCCGGUUGGAAUGACGGUACCAAAAGAAGAAGCCCCGGCUAACUUCGU
rnacentral:rRNA from 1 species